UUGACAUUUAUAAUAGCACAUGUUAUCAUCUUUUGACAAUAGAAAUUUGGGGUUGUCUACUAUCAACUAUUCAUGCUUGCGCCUGUUUUGCUUUGUUCAAAUGAUAGUGUAGUGCAUCAUGUUUCAAUUGAAUGGGUAUUACAGCUAGCUUUUGUAGCAUGGUUGAUUGUGUGUCUGGUUGCAUUCCAUGUCUCUGUGGUUCAUACUUGAUGCCUUGUUCUUAUAUGGAUAUAUAGAUUUCACAUUAUGCUAUUUUGAAUUACUGCUCAUGGUUGGGAGAUCUGUGUAAUAUGUUGGAAUGUGUAACUAGUUGCAAUAUAAUGCAAGUAUUCCAGUCACGUUACUCUUCACUAGUGAUAGUGUUGUAUAUGUUGGAAUGUGUAUCGAGUUAUGAUAUAGCGCAAGUGUGUCAUUCACAUUAUUUUUGUAUAUGUUGCAUUUUAGUAAGUUGGCUUUUGUGUAUCAGUUUUGAUAUUUUGGCUGAAGUCAUUUGUUUGCGAUGCACUAGGCAGACUGACACUAAUUUCAUAUUAAUAAGGUUUAUACAGUAAUAAAUGCUUUUGGACUUUAAGGGUGUUGUCAGUUGGUACAUGGUUAUCAUAAGAGUAAAAGUUGGGGAAUAGAAGAGGUAAAUUUUGUUAGACUACUACAAUUUGUUAAUGACUAUGUUUUGUUGGUAUGUAGUUAGCUAAACCAUUUGAAGAACAGUGACAACUUUAGAAUUUGUUAGAAGUUGUAGAUAUGAUAGUAACUUGGAAUCAGCAGGGAAGUUCACCUUUAAGGAAACAUCAUUCACAAUUUGGUAGAUAUUGUUAGGAACUUAUAUGCUGUAUUAGCUCAUAGAAAUUUGAGAUGGCAGAGUGGAAACAUGUACGCAGAACCUUAUAGAAGGUUAGAAACACAAAGUGAGGGAACGUGCAUGAUUCUCACAAGUCUGUAUGUUGGUUCUGUACCUGUCUUUGAUCUACCGUGCAGACAGUUAGAAACCGGCUUGCCUAGGGGUGUAUCGAUUUGGUGUACCAAAUUGAUGGACCAGCCAUUCCACCCUUGGAUUUGUAGGGGCUGGGGUUUUAAAGGUAUGUGUGAGAUUACCUUUAUUCAAUCCAUUGAUGGAGAGGGUUGGUCCACCUUUAGUUUUUCGGUUAGAAACACUAAAGUCAGAUGGGUAUUGAUUGUUUGGGGUUGUUCUGGAAGGUUUAUACAGUUAAAUCGUUUUUGUUCUUGAAGGGUGUUGUUUGUUGGUACAUGGUUAUGGUCAGGGUAUAAGUUGGAAACCAGUAGGUAAAUCUGUUAGGCCACCAUAAAUUUAAUGUCUAGUUUUGUUUGAUAUGUAGUUAUCCUCUAAACCAUUAGAGGAACAGCGACAACUUUAGAAAUUGGUAAGAGGUUCGGGAUAUGUUAGUAACUUGGAAUCAGCAAGGGAGUAUCAUUCAUAUUUAUAUUUAUAUUUUAGUAGAUUCAGGAAAUUAGAUGAUGAGUUUGUUCGUAGAAAAUUGACAUGACAGUGGAAACAUCUUUGCAGAACCGGACAGUUAGAAACACAGGAAUGUAACAUGCAUGAUUAUCAUAAGUCUGUAUGUUGGUUCUAUACCUGUCUUUGAUAUAUUGUGUUUUCUUGAGGUAGAGGGGUAUUGAUUGUUUGGAGUUUUUCUGGAAGGUUUAGUCCCCUGGUUCAUCAGAACUGGUUGAAAUGCUUUCAUGUUUCAUGCUUUGCACCUACACUUUUCUGCUUAUGCCACAGGAAGAAAUACUUCACUACUGCUCCCUCAAAUAGGUUAUGACAUUUAUAUUUUGUUAGUCCAGACUCCAGAGAGAGUUUGUUCUUUAGCAAUGGAUGCAUUUUCUUUUCUAAUAUUACACUGCAGCGCCUGAGUGUUUACUUCGUGCUUAUUUCUUCUUUGUCAUUUUAUUAUUAUCUUUAGCUGACAUGAAUUGUAAGAAAACAGCUGCUUGAAGCUUUGAUUUGAAUGUCACAUAGUUGACCUUAUUCUAUUUUGGUUCUGAAUUUGGAGUUCCUGCUGAAUCACAUUGAUUGUUCACUUAUUUGCAACUGUUCACUGUGGUUGGAACUCCGAACUGUUAUGUCCAUGGGAACCUGUAAUCUGUGGAGUUCCUGUUAUUUGGCUGUUCAUGAUGUGCUUCCAUUUUUAAUGUAUAUCGAACUUUCUUGUUGUAUUGCAGUCGUCCAGCCUGGUUUUCCCAAGAUAUUUCAGUUAAGAAGAGAUUAGUGGAGAUGUGUUUGGGUUCUCUUGAUAAGAGUGCAUUUCUGAGAAAAACACGACAUUAUUUUAAGGAUACAUGUAUUGUUUAUCCUUUAAUAAUGUCGCGUUUUUCUCAGAAAUGCGAGUUACUCAAUUUUGGGAUCGAGUAUGCAGACAAAGAAACAGAUUGUUUUGCUAAACUUGGUUUGAACCGAUUAAUUACAAUUUCAUGGGAAGGCUCAGUUUCCUUGAUGGAUGAUUUAGGAACAACCUUGAGCAAUAAAGUAGGGCGAUACAAAAGUUGGGUCAGCAAUAUAAUCAUCUUUUCGAGUAUCACAGGCAAUGAAGAAACAUUUUGUGAUCAACUUUUGGCUCUUGGAUGGUGCGCCAUCCAGUUGCUUUUUACCUCUUAUUAUUCCGGGUUGGUGGCUUUUGAUAUUGAGAUUGAAAGACUUGAUAAGUUGAAAAUUGAUGCACCGUUAGUAUCACAAAAGAAUAGAUGGAAUAGAGAUAAACCAAAAGAAUAGAUGGAAUAGAGAUAAACCUAAAGCUAAUACGGUUCCUGUCAUGCAUGAUGUCACACCUGCAAAUGCACCUUCACCGAUCGUACCUGAUGCGCCUUCACCGACCGUACCUGAUGCGCCUUCACCGACCGUACCGGAUGCACCUUCACUGACUGUACCUGAUGCACAGAGCUCAGCAGAAAGCUUCGAUAACAUCAUUGUUAGCACAGAGCUCUAGGAGUUAAAUGGCGACGGAUCAGUGUCGUGGAUUGAGCCAUCCGACAUGUCAGAUGAAGUCGUCAGCAGGAUCGACUGUGAUGGAGCAUUAUAUGGGAAGCUAAUUAACGAAUACAUCUUUAGAAGGUAAAGGACGUGUCGCUGGCUGGAUAUAGUUGUGUUGCUGGCUGGAUAUAGUUGUGUUGCCCGAAUACUUUAGUUGGCCCUGAAGUGAAAUGAUGUUUCUUUCAGACAAGCUGCUUGCCUAUUAAUCCUGCGAUUGUAUUGAAACAAUUCGUCAUGUUGUUAAAGGACUCGCAGUGAAAAGAGUUGUAGGUAAAUGCUCCAGAAGAUCAAGAAGGAUGAAAGCAAUUAUUAAAAACAUCAUUUCACUUCAGGGCCAAUUAAAGUAUUCACGGAUGUUCCACAGGUGCAAAUGAUAUCGAUUAAUAGACAAGCUAACCAGAUGGCUCAUUUCACUACUAAGCCAAACGAUGAGGUUUCUUUCAGACAAGCUGAUUUUGACAAAGAGGGCGAUCAGCUACCAGAGAAGCUGCAAAUAGCCAAGGAAUAUCUUGUAUAUGAUGCAAACAGAACCAAAUACUUCCCAGGAGGAGGCUUAUUUCCUGGAGGCUUAGCUUCUACCCAGAUGGAGGCCUAGCUUCAUGAAUUGUUAAUGCCUGUUUUAUUCAUGGAAUGAGGUGAGGUGCUUGUACUUGAACAGUAUUUGUAUUUCAAACAGUAAGAUAUGGCUCUUUAAUUCUGUGUAGGCCAUAGGGAACCCUGAGACACACAGGUAGAAAUUAUUUCCAGGACUUUCUUUUGAGUAUGCUCAGUAAUAUUUUGGUUUAAUGCCCAGAUUUGGUUUUCU